ensembl:lncRNA
ACAAAAUAGAGUCUGACAUGGCAGUGUGUAUGAAGCAGAAGUGUGCCAUUGAGUUCCUCCAUGCAGAACUUACACCCACUGACAUUCACUGAUGCUUGCUGAACGUUUAUGGAGACCAAACAGUGGAUUUCAGCACAGUGAGGUGGUGAGUGGUGCGUUUCAACAGUUGUGACAGUGACAUGAAAGACAAGUCAUGUUCUGGAAGACCAUGCACAGCUGUCACUCUACAAAAUUAAGAGCAUCUCAAUAAGCUCAUCUGCUCAAAUCAUCAGAUUACGACCAGAGAACUCUGUAAGGAGCUAAAUAUCAGCUCAACUGUGUUGGAAACGAUGGUGGCAACGUUGGAAUAUUCCAGUUUGUGCCAGCUGGGUGCCACAAAUCCUCACACAGGAAUGGAAAGAAUACAGUAUGCAAGUUUGUCAGGACCUACUGAACAGUUAUGGGGUUGAAGAUGCUCAUGUGAACAAAGGAAUGCAAGCUGGUCUCUGUGGGAGCCAUUUCUGGAGAACUAAAGGAAGAAACAUCUUUUUUGAAUCUGAGAGGUUUGAGUUUAAUGGGGUACAGAAAAAAAAAAUCAGUUUAGAUCUGAAUACAGAAUAGAGAAUCUUAAAGAAUGACAGUGGAGAUUGGUCUGUGUGAAAUGGACACAGCAGAUGAAUUUGUCUUUCCAAGGAAGAAAUGGAAAAGGAUGCUCUUCAACAUGUGAGAGAACUAAAAAGUACAAUGAAAGCAUAUGGAUUGUUACUAAGUAUGAAAAUAAGCAUCUACUUCUGCAUGAACUUGAACUUAAUAUGCCUGUACAAUGAAUUCCUGGGACAGAUGGAAAUCUUCUCCCACUUGGAGUCUGCAGCAAAGAGCCUCAGGAGAGAACCGAGGCUGACCCCUUGGAUUUUGGAGUCGAGCAUACAAGGGGUUGGAAGAGUGCUACGCUCUCUUCAGAGGGGUCUGAAGCAUAAGUCUUAUGAGGAGCAACUGAAGGAACUGGGUUGUUUAGUCUGGAGAAGAAGAGGUGCAUGGGAGACCUUAUUGCUCUCUACAACUCCCUGAAGGGAGAUUGUGACGAAGUGAGGGUUGGGUUCUUCUCCCACAUAACUAGCAAUAGGAUGAGAGGAAUGGCCUCAAGUUGUGCCAGAGGAUAUUCAAGUUGAAUGUUAGGACCUUCUUCUCCGAAAGAGUGAUCAGGUGCUGGAAUGGGCUGCCCAGCGACGUGGUGGACCACUAUCCCUGGAGGUGUUAAUAACUGUUCAGAUGUUGUACUAAGGGAUACGGUUUAGUGCGAAAUAUUGGUGGUAGAUGGAUGGUUGGACUAGGUGAUCUCGGAGGUCUUUUCCAGCCUUAGUGAUUCUGUAUUCAGAGGGAGAUGAGGCACUGACACAGACUGCCUGAAGAAGCUGUGGGUGCCCAUGGAGACAUUCAAGGCCAGACUGUGUGGGGCCAUGGGCAGCUUAUCUGGUGGGUGACAACUCAACUCACGGCAGGGAGUUGGGGCUAGAUGGGCUUUCUGUUCCCUUCCAAACCAAGCCAUUCUUAUUUUGUGAAAUCCUUGAUAUUCUAAUGUUUUCUUGGUUUUUGUGUUCAGAAUAAGCACUUUUCAAGAUGUGGAUUCAGCCAGGGACAAAUACAGCAAAAUUCUUUCAUGUACAACUUACUAUAUAUAGGUAUGUAUAAAUUGCUUUAUAUAAAGCAAUAUAAGUGAAGAAAAAUAUCAAAUUUGAUGUAUGCAUUUUCAUAUCAACCUUCAUAAGACCAAUUUUUAUACAGUGUUACUGGAGCUUGAUCAAUAAAAACAGUAUUAAUAAGAUAUUACAAAGAAUCUGAAUUUUUUAGAAGAGUUGAAUCAUUUAUUGAUCCUGUUGAAAGCUUUCUAAGAUCUCUGUAUUUUUUUUUUGUACUGCAAUUACCGUAUCUCUAAACAUUUUAAAUCAUUUUGCCAGAUUGAGGGUUUAUGUAUCCCUGCCACCUUUUAUAGACUGUUUGAUUUGUUUUAAUAUUCUGUAUGGCAUUUUUUCUUAAUGUUCUACUUCUAAAGAGCUUUCCUCUUUUCCAUGCCCUGAGGAUAACUGUUUUCUUUCACUGAUCUCCUUGUUUGUAUAAUUGUUAAUAGGUUUCACAUUCCUUACUUUUAUCAGACUUUCCUCUGUUACCAUCCUUUGCUUUCUAUUUCUUUUCUCAAUUUAUCAAAUAACGUGAAUAUUUAAUUUUUCUUUCUUAGAAGUUCUGCAUCUCUUUAUCCUGUGACAUUAUAUGUUCUAUGGCAGACAGGCCCUGGUCUUUUUCCUGAAUGGCUCCAGACUUCUAGAAGUUUUAAACAAUUUUACCUGAUAACUAAAUGUUUUCUUAAUGGGACAUCUUAUUUAAACAUUUCUUUUUUUGUAAUUUAGCUUUAUUUAUUACUUUCAAACAUUUUUUUCAACUGAAAAACCAAGUUUUAAGUUGACAGUGAACAUGAGCAUAGAAGGUGCAUUUCUAGAGUUUUCAAUCAGAUGCCUUUCUAUUACUCUAACACUUAUUCAUGUUAUUCAAUGGCAGAUGUAAUGUUAUGUGGCUGUGGUCAAGUCUAUGUAAUCUAUUGCAGCUUGCAGAAAUGUGGUAUCCAUGCAUUCAUCUGUUGUUUGUUUAUAGUAUAGAAUGCAUCAUUAAAGAGUGGUCUCUC